GAUGAACGCUGGCGGCGUGCCUAAUACAUGCAAGUCGAGCGAACGGACGAGAAGCUUGCUUCUCUGAUGUUAGCGGCGGACGGGUGAGUAACACGUGGAUAACCUACCUAUAAGACUGGGAUAACUUCGGGACACCGGAGCUAAUACCGGAUGAUAUUUUGAACCGCAUGGUUCAAAAGUGAAAGACGGUCUUGCUGUCACUUAUAGAUGGAUCCGCGCUGCAUUAGCUAGUUGGUAAGGUAACGGCUUACCAAGGCAACGAUGCAUAGCCGACCUCAGAGGGUGAUCGGCCACACUGGAACUGAGACACGGUCCAGACUCCGACGGGAGGCAGCAGUAGCGAAUCUUCCGCAAUGGGCGAAAGCCUGACGGAGCAACGGCGCGUGAGUGAUGAAGGUCUUCGGAUCGUAAAACUCUGUUAUUAGGGAAGAACAUAUGUGUAAGUAACUGUGCACAUCUUGACGGUACCUGAUCAGAAAGCCACGGCUAACUACGUG
rnacentral:rRNA from 1 species